CACAGAGCUGGUGCAGCAGAGGCUGUAGCAGAGCAAACUUCCCACAUGCUGCCCUGCCAAUGUGCCUCAUCUGAUCAGGAGAGACCACCUCUAGA
ensembl:misc_RNA